rnacentral:rRNA from 1 species
GACGAACGCUGGCGGCGUGCCUAAUACAUGCAAGUAGAACGCUGAAGGAGGAGCUUGCUUCUCCGGAUGAGUUGCGAACGGGUGAGUAACGCGUAGGUAACCUGCCUGGUAGCGGGGGAUAACUAUUGGAAACGAUAGCUAAUACCGCAUAAGAGUAGAUGUCGCAUGACAUUUGCUUAAAAGGUGCAACUGCACCACUACCAGAUGGACCUGCGUUGUAUUAGCUAGUUGGUGAGGUAAAGGCUCACCAAGGCAACGAUACAUAGCCGACCUGAGAGGGUGAUCGGCCACACUGGGACUGAGACACGGCCCAGACUCCUACGGGAGGCAGCAGUAGGGAAUCUUCGGAAAUGGACGGAAGUCUGACCGAGCAACGCCGCGGGGGUGAAGAAGGUUUUCGGAUCGUAAAGCUCUGUUGUAAGAGAAGAACGAGUGUGAGAGUGGAAAGUUCACACUGUGACGGUAUCUUACCAGAAAGGGACGGCUAACUACGUG